AAUGCACCGCUCCGCGCAGGCGGCCGCGGAAUUCGAUUAAUUAUUGGGCGUAAAGAGCUCGUAGGCGGUUUGUCGCGUCUGCCGUGAAAGUCCGGGGCUCAACUCCGGAUCUGCGGUGGGUACGGGCAGACUAGAGUGAUGUAGGGGAGACUGGAAUUCCUGGUGUAGUGGUGAAAUGCGCAGAUAUCAGGAGGAACACCGAUGGCGAAGGCAGGUCUCUGGGCAUUAACUGACGCUGAGGAGCGAAAGCAUGGGGAGCGAACAGGAUUAGAUACCCUGGUAGUCCAUGCCGUAAACGUUGGGCACUAGGUGUGGGGGACAUUCCACGUUUUCCGCGCCGUAGCUAACGCAUUAAGUGCCCCGCCUGGGGAGUACGGCCGCAAGGCUAAAACUCAAAGGAAUUGACGGGGGCCCGCACAAGCGGCGGAGCAUGCGGAUUAAUUCGAUGCAACGCGAAGAACCUUACCAAGGCUAGACAUGAACCGGAAAGAUCUGGAAACAGGUCCCCCACUUGUGGUCGGUUUACAGGUGGUGCAUGGUUGUCGUCAGCUCGUGUCGUGAGAUGUUGGGUUAAGUCCCGCAACGAGCGCAACCCUCGUUCUAUGUUGCCAGCACGUGAUGGUGGGGACUCAUAGGAGACUGCCGGGGUCAACUCGGAGGAAGGUGGGGACGACGUCAAAUCAUCAUGCCCCUUAUGUCUUGGGCUUCACGCAUGCUACAAUGGCCGGUACAAAGGGUUGCGAUACUGUGAGGUGGAGCUAAUCCCAAAAAGCCGGUCUCAGUUCGGAUUGGGGUCUGCAACUCGACCCCAUGAAGUCGGAGUCGCUAGUAAUCGCAGAUCAGCA
rnacentral:rRNA from 1 species